UAGAGUUUGAUCAUGGCUCAGGAUGAACGCUAGCGGCAGGCUUAACACAUGCAAGUCGAGGGGCAGCACAGGUAGCAAUACUGGGUGGCGACCGGCAAACGGGUGCGGAACACGUACGCAAUCUACCUUUAUCUGGGGCAUAGCCCGAAGAAAUUCGGAUUAACACCCCAUAAUAUACAUGUAAGGCAUCUUACGAGUAUUAAAACUCCGGUGGAUAGAGAUGAGCGUGCGUCCCAUUAGCUAGUUGGCAGGGUAAAGGCCUACCAAGGCGACGAUGGGUAGCUGGUGUGAGAGCACGACCAGCCACACGGGCACUGAGACACGGGCCCGACUCCUACGGGAGGCAGCAGUGAGGAAUAUUGGUCAAUGGACGCAAGUCUGAACCAGCCAUGCCGCGUGAAGGAUGAAGGCCUUCUGGGUUGUAAACUUCUUUUAUUGGGGAAGAAAACUACGGUUUCUACUGUAGCCGACGGUACCCAAGGAAUAAGCACCGGCUAACUCCGUGCCAGCAGCCGCGGUAAUACGGAGGGUGCAAGCGUUAUCCGGAUUCACUGGGUUUAAAGGGUGUGUAGGCGGAUAUUUAAGUCAGAGGUGAAAUCUCCAGGCUCAACCUGGAAACUGCCUUUGAUACUAUUUAUCUUGAAUUUUGUUGAGGUAGGCGGAAUAUAUCAUGUAGCGGUGAAAUGCAUAGAUAUGAUAUAGAACACCGAUUGCGAAGGCAGCUUACUAAGCAAACAUUGACGCUGAGGCACGAAAGCGUGGGGAUCAAACAGGAUUAGAUACCCUGGUAGUCCACGCCCCUAAACGAUGAUUACUCGACAUACGCGAUACACAGUGUGUGUCUGAGCGAAAGCAUUAAGUAAUUCCACCCUGGGGAAGUACGUCCGCAAGGAUGAAACUCAAAUGAAUUGACG
rnacentral:rRNA from 1 species